AUUGAACGCUGGCGGCAGGCCUAACACAUGCAAGUCGAGCGAGCGGCAGACGGGUGAGUAAUGUAUGGGGACUGCCCGAUAGAGGGGGAUAACUACUGGAAACGGUGGCUAAUACCGCAUACUAUCGGAUAACCCAUAUGGGAUUAGCUAGUAGGUGGGGUAAAGGCUCACCUAGGCGACGAUCUCUAGCUGGUCUGAGAGGAUGAUCAGCCAGACUGGAACGGAAACACGGCCCAGUCUCCCUGGGAGGCAGCAUUGGGGACUAUUGCAGAUUGGGCGCAAGCCUGAGGCAGCCCUGCCGGGUGUAUGAAGAGGGCCUUAGGGUUGUAAAGUACUUUCAGCGGGGAGGCGUUACCCGCAUAAGAAGCACCGGCUAACUCCGUGCCAGCAGCCACGGUAAUAC
rnacentral:rRNA from 1 species